rnacentral:rRNA from 1 species
UAGGGAAUCUUCGGCAAUGGACGGAAGUCUGACCGAGCAACGCCGCGUGAGUGGAGAAGGUUUUCGGAUCGUAAAGCCCUGUUGUAAGAGAAGAACGAGUGUGAGAGUGGAAAGUUCACACUGUGACGGUAUCUUACCAGAAAGGGACGGCUAACUACGUGCCAGCAGCCGCGGUAAUACGUAGGUCCCGAGCGUUGUCCGGAUUUAUUGGGCGUAAAGCGAGCGCAGGCGGUUAGAUAAGUCUGAAGUUAAAGGCUGUGGCUUAACCAUAGUAGGCUUUGGAAACUGUUUAACUUGAGUGCAAGAGGGGAGAGUGGAAUUCCAUGUGUAGCGGUGAAAUGCGUAGAUAUAUGGAGGAACACCGGUGGCGAAAGCGGCUCUCUGGCUUGUAACUGACGCUGAGGCUCGAAAGCGUGGGGAGCAAACAGGAUUAGAUACCCUGGUAGUCCACGCUGUAAACGAUGAGUGCUAGGUGUUAGACCCUUUCCGGGGUUUAGUGCCGUAGCUAACGCAUUAAGCACUCCGCCUGGGGAGUACGACCGCAAGGUUG